CUGAGCUCUGCCUGGGAAAUCUAGCAAUUUAGCAAGACCCCGCCUCGAAAUUCAGAGUAAGAGGGCUGAGGACGGGACUCGUGGCUUCAAGCCCCAGCGCCACAAAACCAAAACAAAAACUUCCCUCUGGGCUUUGCGCUCGCUUUCUUUUUUCCAGGCUGGUGACAAGAGCCGGUCCGUCCGUGCAGUCAAGCGCGCGACCGCUGCGCUCACCGGUCACCGCCAGCGCUCUCGCUCUCUUCCCGGGGCUCGCUCAGCCGUCCUUGGAAGUGCGGCCUCUUCCAAGGAGCCUUUGUCUGCCGUCCCAAGCCCUUCUAACGGUCCCUCUGUCCUUUGUUUCUUCCUAGCACUCCUGGCCAGGGAAACACUGUCCUUCACGGUGCUGUCUCCCGCUGCAGAGGGAGGGACGUCUCCACGGAGCCCAGGGCUUUGUCCUGUUCCGCGGCACCCUGGGAUUAGUACCUGGUAUGCAGUAGGUUCUCAUCCCAGCGCGCCGCCAGGCCCUGCACCGGGUUGCUCUUCAUGUCCAGCACGCGCUGCAGCUGCCGCGCCUUCCACUCGUCCGUCAGGGUGACGGGCUUCUCCGGGAACACUGCGGGGAGGCCGCGUGAGCACAGCCCCCGGCCGGCCCCGCCUCAGCCCCGCGCCCGCCCAGCGGCGGAGCGGGAAGCAGCCUCGAAGACCACCCGGACCUAAGUCCCGGCUCCACCGUGCCCUUGCAGUGUGGCCUUGAGCCGGUCACUUCACCUCUCUGAGCCUCGGACCCCUUACCAGUGGGCACAAUGUUGGACCGAUACAAAGCACCCACUGAACGUUACCACUGAACUAUAGUUACGGAGUUUGCUUCUUCUCACCGGGAAGGGGUCUGGGUGAGACAGUUCCUUUUGUUUUCGGGGGUGGGGGUGGGGAGUGGGGAAUGGAAGGCAGGUACAGGGUGGCUUAUUUUCUAUCUAAAUGAGGUCUCUAUAUACCGAAGUUCAGCCUGACUUUGAACUCAGUAUGUAGCUCAGGCUGCCUCCAACUCAGUGAUCUUCCUGCCUCAGCCUCCCUGUGCUGGGAUUACAAGUGUGCACCACCACACCUAGCUCCAGGGUGGUUAGUUUAAAAAUCUAGGAAGGUGUGGUGACACUCUCCUGUAGUCCCAGCCUAUGCAAGAGGCUGAGGCAGGAGGAUCACGAGUUUGAGUCCAGUUAAGACAACUCAGUGAUUUAAUAAGACCUUAUCUCAUUUUUUGUAAUUUUACAAUUUUUGUAAAGUGUAUUGUGAGACCCAUGGGUUCUAACCCAGUACAAUCAAUCAGUCAUCUGGGGAGGGCAAGGCUUAAUCGAAAGGCUGAAGCACUGGGUUUGAGAAGCCCUGCUGUGUGUGUCAGGAAGGCUGAAGGCUGGAGCUCCCAGCACUUAUUCCCAGCCACUGCCCCUGGGCUGACCUAGCCAUCCAGAUCUCUGUCCCUGGUGCUUCCAUCCCGAGAUGGCAGAAAGGGAGUGACUUUAAUGAGCACCUACUAGGUGCCAGACACUGGGCUAGAUGAAGCCAUUCCUGGAAGCUCUUAUUUCAUCCUCAGGCAACUCGGGGAUUCCGGUCACACUUUAUACAGGAAAGAAGAUGAGACUCUAGGGACACUCAACUGAGACUGACUGCCAGCUCUUCCUCAAUAUCCUCUGCCUUUUUUUUUUUUUUUUGUA